rnacentral:misc_RNA from 1 species
UACGGAGGAUCCGAGCGUUAUCCGGAAUCAUUGGGUUUAAAGGGUCCGUAGGCGGGUUUAUAAGUCAGUGGUGAAAUCCGGCAGCUCAACUGUCGCACUGCCAUUGAUACUGUAAGUCUUGAAUUACUGUGAAGUGGUUAGAAUAUGUAGUGUAGCGGUGAAAUGCUUAGAUAUUACAUGGAAUACCAAUUGCGAAGGCAGAUCACUAACAGUCAAUUGACGCUGAUGGACGAAAGCGUGGGUAGCGAACAGG